GGGGCUGGAGGGAGAUGGCGCCGCGCUCCCGGAUGAACAGAGAAAGCGACAGGACGCCCUUGCAUACAUUAAGAUAUGUAUAUAUGGAAAUGUUACCGGGAGUCCCGGUUAUCCCAAAAAGGGUUGUUUCCUGUUGCGUGGUGAGGCCAAUGCACGAAACCGAAAGGGAGUGUGUCAAGCAGUGCAGGCUGUAUUCAAUGGCUAUGGAAUUGGAAGAUCUGAAAUCAACUUAGCUUGUGAGAGCUGGGAAGUUUCAGAGGUAGGGUGUCUUUAAUGAAGGGGCUGGGCAUUAAGAGCACGGGGGGGAAUAUUCGUGCUUUCCUUGGGAAAGAACGGAGAUUUUUCCCGGAAUCAAGAAACCCCUUUUUUUCUGUCCCUUCUUGGUCUCUUCCAGUCGUUGUCAUGGCGACAUGUUGUUUAGCAUGAGAACAGGAUGAUGAUAAAGCCAGAGGCUCUUCAGAGGCGCCAUCUUGGAUUUCGCCAGCUUCAGCUGGUUUCGUCCUAAGAAGGAACUUCGAAACACAGGCAUUCUUUUUCCUGAAAAUAAGCAGAGUUACAGCUGAGUAGGAAUUUAGCUCUGUCCCAUAUGCUAUCGCAUUGGGCAGCAAAAGCAGGGUGGGGUCCAGCGAAAUCAGCAGGCACUGCAAUGAGUAACAUACCCAGCCACGUUUAUGCAGCAUUUUUACGAAAAUGAAACCAUACUACCUGUAAAGGAAGAUAUGCUAACAAACAACAAAACUGGCAGGAACCAAGAUUCCUACUGACACUACCCUUAGUU
rnacentral:lncRNA from 1 species